rnacentral:lncRNA from 1 species
UGUUUUCUUUUAACAAUUUCCAUUUUGAUUUUCAUUUUUGAUUCUUGUUUUACUUAACAUGAAAUAAAUAUGUGAACAUGAAAAAUGACAAAAAAACCAUUUUGAUUUUCAUUUUUGAUUCUUGUUUUACUUAACAUGAAAUAAAUAUGUGAACAUGAAAAAUGACAAAAAAUAUGAGUGUUUGACUUUGUUGACUUUUUAGGCCAUUUUGUGAAUUUAUCCCCAUUUUAUGAGUUCUACCGAUUAAAUGUCAUCUUGUGCGUUUCAUGUGGUUAUUUUGAUCUUUCAGACCUGGGAUUGUUGUGUGAAACCAAUUUAGGGUAGGAACAUGUCCCCUUAGACACUU